rnacentral:RNase_P_RNA from 1 species
CGACUGCUGCCGAAAGGUAGAGGAAAGUCCAUGCUCGCACAGCCUGUGAUGGCUGUAGUGUUUGCGCCAGGCCAAUCAAUAAGCCUGGGUACGCGGGAGCGCGUAACGGCGGAGGAACGUCUCACGUAGACGGGAAUCCCUAAGGUGCCACAGAGACGAGCUUGAUGGCGACAUCAAGAUGAAACGCGGCAAACCCCACAAGCGAGAAACCCAAAUUUGGUAGGGGAAGCGUCCAAUCCGAAUCGAAGGAAAGGACGCCAGGUCAGCCUGAGAUAAAUUGUCGUCCUCGACAUAACAUGGCUUAUAG